AACGAACGCUGGCGGCGGGCCUCAUACAUGCAAGUCGAGCGCGAAAGUCCGCAAGGAUGAGUAAAGCGGCGCACGGGUGAGUAACACGUGGGUAAUCUACCUUUUGGAUUGGAAUAACCUGUCGAAAGACGGGCUAAUGCCGAGUAAGCUCUCUUGAACGUGGAGUUCGAGCGAGGAAAGAUGGCGCAAGCUAUCGCCGAAAGAUGAGCCUGCG
rnacentral:rRNA from 1 species